AAGAUGGACGCCUUGAGGUUUCCUGAUACCUGUGCGUGUGUGUGUGCUGGGGGGAAAACCCCGGUGGAAAGCGGAAACGGAAGGUGGGCGCGGGACUUUUACGGCGAGAAAGCCGGAAAAGAGCAUCGCGAAUCGUAAGCGUGUGUGUCAUCAAAGGAGGUUUCACUUUACCUUAACUUAACUUAACUCCUCUGCAAGCCGAAAAACGUGAACUUUAAAUGUGAUUUUAAUUCGGGAAAAAAAGAAGUGCCAGAAACUAAGUUAAGCUAACAGAAAGGAAAAGUUGUGGAAAAAGGAAUUUCCCGAAAUUGCCAAAACUAACAAACUGAAAAUGAGCUGCUGCUGAUGAUGAUGAUAAAACCAGAUCGGGGGCGACACUUAUGUAAAGCGGUUUGGAAAAACUCUCUCUCUCUCUCUUCGAAAUGUAGAAACCUUUUAAGCAAAGAAAACUGGGUUAUCCACUAAAGUGCA